CAGCAACGGUAAGUGUUUUUUUUUAUUAUUAUUUUAAAUUUCCUUAUUAUUUGGUUACAAAAACCUUGAAUCAUCAUUUUAUUCUAAGCAGAUUCAGUAAAAUGCUGCAAAAUGACGAAUGUCUCCAUGUCCAUUUUCUUGUAUUCUAAUAUGAAAUUGUACACGACUACACGCUGAAUUAAUGAACUUUUACAAUAUCACUCCAUGGUUCUGUUUUUGAUGUUAAGAAAUUCAAUAGGCUACAAAAAUCAUUUGUGUUCUAGUCAAAGCAAAGCUAACAGUACAGGAACUUAAAGAUCCACAAAAAAUAACCACUUUCCAUUUGUUAGUAACAAUGGUUGCGUGGUUUGUCAGGAACAAUAACAUGGUGGAACAGAUAGUUAGGUUGAAGGCAGAGGAGUACAUAUGAAUAAGCAGUUCAGCAAAUCACAUCCUCAACUUCUAACUUUCAUAUUUGUGCAUUUUCUCAUUCAACAUGCAAAUCUUUACAUUAUGGUUGCAAAAAGUUUUACUAUCUGCCACUAUUAAGUUUCCAAUUUGCGACAACAAAUUCCUCAAUAUUUGGAGAAUAACAAAGUAAAUUCAAGUUCCCAACCACAUCAUCUAACUUCUCAUUGAUCUGAUCUGCUUGUUUAUUCUAUCUGCCACUGAGAACUCGCAAACUUCAUUGCUCAAUUACAUCCUAUUACAUCCUCUUCCUUUAGUAUCAAGUUCCUCACUUCCUGAAACUAUUGCCACUUUUUCACCUGGCAUAAUGAUAAUAGAACAAGUGCUCCAUCUCACCGUCUGGCUUCCACUCAAGCACCCGUUCGGCAGCAAAUUCUGCUCAUUUAACUUCUCUAUUAACCCGACAAGCAGCCAUUAGGGAACCCCAGAUGAAAGCUUUUGUCUUCACGAUAUUCAUUGCUUCUCGUGGGAGAUUAGCACGACCAAAUACAUCUACCAUGCAAUUAAUAGUGCUCAUGUUUAGGGUGACACUGACAUGCUGUGUUAUUAGUCAUUGGUGCAAAAAUUCUCUCACUCUUCACUAGACCUGCAUGGCUACAAGCAUAAAGAACACCUACAAAUGUCACUUCAUUAGGCUCAAUGUUUUUAUCUUUCAUCUGAUGAUAGAAACUUAGAGCACUACGGGUUUCCCCGUGGAUGGAAAACGCAUUGACCAUACUAGUCCAAGAUAUCACAUUUCUUCUUGACAUCUUCUCAAAAAGUGCUCUGGCUGCUUCCAAAUAUCCACAUUUGGCAUACAUGUGAAUAAGGGCAUUGUUGAAUGACAAAGCUCCUCCAAAUCCGUUCUUCUCAACAAACAUAUGGAUCUGUCUAGCUUGAUCCCGCAUACAAAGACGAGCACAAGCUGAGAUUGCACUCAGUAGGGUAACUUCAUCUUGUUCUGUUCCUAAGACUUGCAUUUAAGUAAAUAGAUCAAGAGCUUCUUGACGCAGAUCACUCUCUGCAUCACCAGAUAUCAUUGCAAACCAACAGAGCAUGUCCUUUUCGUCCAUAUGGUUAAAAAUCAAACGAGCAUCUUCAACAUUACAUACUCUUGAAUAGCCAGAAAUCAUGGCGGGUGAAACUACCAAGUUUUUAGAUGACAUCUUAGUAAAUGAUUCCUUAGCCAUAUCCAUGCAACCCUAAAUUGCAUAAAUAGAGGUAAGUGCACUUUCUAAAUGAGGAUCAAGCAUAACAUUAUUUACAAUAAGGAAAUCUUAUAUAAAAUUUUUGGGAUAAAGGUUUAGU
rnacentral:misc_RNA from 1 species